GCUUCGUAGGGCACGCCAUUCUGGCACCUUCCACUGCCUGCUGCGUGAUGAAUAAAUGGCCGGUGACUCACCAACUGGAGGACGCACCGUGGGUGCCAGCAGGCCGGUUGAAGGCAGGAAAGAGCAGCGCCCAGGCUCGGCAGUCCCAGCUUUAUGGACUACGACUAGAUGACCUAAGGGUUUCUGGGUUGAAGAGUCCCUCGGGCUGAGACAAUGGGCCCGUUUGUGCUCAGUACCUGCCCCGACGUCACCUGGCUUGCUGACUGUUGGCUGUUCCAGAGUGUUCAGCUAUGGAAAUAACAGUGCCUUUCAUUUCUGGAUCCCUUCCAAGAACAGAGCUGGGCACUGGCUGUCCACCCAGCACUUCCCAAGGAUUGUUGAGACAGAGCACCUCACCCAGAGCCGCCUACCCAGAGCCAACCCCUCCUGCUCACUGGUUCAGAGAGCAGAGCCGCCCACAUCUUCUGUUUCCCCCACCAAGUGCUACCUGAGCACCUGCAGCUCUGACAGGGCCAGGGGAGGAUUCGAUGGGGAGCUGUGGGACCAACAGUCACAGGCUUCCCUCUGGAAAUUAGGAGAAUUUCAGACCCAGCUGCAAACAGAACUGUCUCUUGCUCUGGCCUCUGUGUAUUGCGAAUAACUGCCAGAUAUGGACUCUGGGCCAAACUUUUAAUAAAGAAAAUUCAUCCACAGAUGUUCCAC
rnacentral:lncRNA from 1 species